rnacentral:rRNA from 1 species
ACGAACGCUGGCGGCUGCUUAACACAUGCAAGUCGAACGGAGUGGCGAACGGGUGAGUAACGCGUGAGCAACCUGCCUAUGACAGUGGGAUAGCCUCGGGAAACCGGGAUUAAUACCGCAUAGUCAUAGAUGGGCUCGCGUCUGAUUAGCUAGUUGGUGAGAUAACAGCCCACCAAGGCGACGAUCAGGAGCUGGUCUGAGAGAAAGGACGGCAACAUUGAAACUAGGACACGGUCCAAACUCCUACGGGAGGCAGCAGUGGGGAAUAUUGCACAAUGGGGGAAACCCUGAGGCGGCGACUCCGCGUGAACGAAGAAGGUAUUCGUAUCGUAAAGUUCUGUCCUAUGGGAAGCAGUACCAUAGAAGAAAGCUCCGGCUAAAUACGUGCCAGCAGCCGCGGUAAUAC